UGGGGAAUAUUGGACAAUGGGGGCAACCCUGAUCCAGCAAUGCCGCGUGUGUGAAGAAGGUCUUCGGAUUGUAAAGCACUUUCGACGGGGACGAUGAUGACGGUACCCGUAGAAGAAGCCCCGGCUAACUUCGUGCCAGCAGCCGCGGUAAUACGAAGGGGGCUAGCGUUGCUCGGAAUGACUGGGCGUAAAGGGCGUGUAGGCGGUUUACACAGUCAGAUGUGAAAUCCCCGGGCUUAACCUGGGAGCUGCAUUUGAUACGUGUAGACUAGAGUGUGAGAGAGGGUUGUGGAAUUCCCAGUGUAGAGGUGAAAUUCGUAGAUAUUGGGAAGAACACCGGUGGCGAAGGCGGCAACCUGGCUCAUGACUGACGCUGAGGCGCGAAAGCGUGGGGAGCAAACAGGAUUAGAUACCCUGGUAGUCCACGCUGUAAACGAUGUGUGCUAGAUGUUGGGUACUUUGUUAU
rnacentral:rRNA from 1 species